UAGAACCAGCCUAGAGCGUUGACAGGUGCGUUAAAGCAAAAUCUGCUGCUUUGCCUGCUUCCGGUAUGACCAAACUUCACACUAGCUAAGGUCCAGACCCGGGGAUUUAAUAACUCUCUCCUACAUCUCUCCCUGUCUCCCACUUGACUGUCUGGAAGACCUCUGAAGACGUCUCUAAGGAGCACAGCCAGCAAGUGACAGAGCCUGGUGAGGUACCUGGGCAGUCUGACUUCAGAGCUGGCACCUGUGAUGGCCUGUUCUACUACCCCCUGUCUUGCUCAUUUGACUGUGACCUCCCUUGAGGAAGGGUAAGAGUAGGCCCUAUUUCUUAAAUCUGCACUCUGUAACUUGCCUGAGGCACUCCUCCAUACCUGGCAUUUUCCUAGCAUCUGUGGCCUAAAUAAUCUCUUUACAGGUGAGAAGUCUCCUUAUAUCUCUCUGG